CCAAACCAGUGGCAGAUGUGCACUCAGCCCUGUUCACAGCUCACCCUUUGCCUCUGUUGUUGCUGCAGCAUUGUGCUUUGCUGCCUUCAUGGGGUGGGCAUGGGGCACCCUAUCCCAGCAGCAAGGAGGGAUGCUCAUGGACAGCUUCUUGGGCAAGGGCACAGCGUCACCCAUGUUUGUGCCGACCUGUGAUCAGCUCAGCCCUGCGGCUGAGGCUCCAGGGAACCGAAGGAUGAGAGCCCGUUCACAUCACCCAGUGCAUCACUGAGACGUGUGUCCAGCUGAGAUCAGCCCCCACAUGAUGAACAUCGCUUGGGGCACAGAAGGGGAGCAGGAAAUAACUCUUUGCACUGAAACAUUCAAUGCUGAUUUAUACUCUAAGUCCCCAAGAUGGAACCAAGACUGAAUUUCGCCCUCUCCUCGAGCGGCCCGGCCAGCUGCACUUUGUGCCAUGGGCUCUGCCACCAUUGGGGCCUGCAGAGCAGAGUGGGCUCUGAUGGAUGUGUGGGGUUGGGAGGAGGUGGGGGUGGGGGGGAAGCAUUUGUUGGGCGCUGUCAGAUCCUGGGGAGCUGCUGACAGCUCGCUCCCAGCCCAGGCUGACGCUGCAGCCAUCCCAUCACCAGCCCAGGGCAGAGUGGGGCAGGGGGUGUUUCCCACGCUGGGAUCUGGGUUUUCCCUUUGCUCAGAUCUCAGCGAGAGGGGGCAGAGUCAGAAAGGGGCCGGGGGCUGCCCCUCACCCUCUGCUUGGUGUUGGCAAUGCUCCUUGUCUCAUGAAAAUCCUCAAAGGCUGCGGCUGUAAAAUGCGGAAAUCAGAGCAACGUUCACCUCCAGGGCUGCGUGUGAUGGGAGGCACAAAUCCCGCUGGAAAAAUCAGAGCUGAAAGCUAGAAAUCAAUGCAGGGCCAACUGGGGAUUCCUGUCAGAGCUGCUUCUGCUUUAACCCUUUGAACAAAUGGACCCAUUGGUGGCUGUGCUGCCAUGAGCUCGGUGCAGAGCAGUGCCUCGCUAACCAGUGCUGCUGCUCCUUCCUGGUACUGGGAGGUCUGGGGGAGGGCAGGGAGUACACACUGCAGAUCGCCAUCCGCUGAGCCCUGGGCUGUCCCGGGGAUGGGGAUCUGCCUCCAAGGUGAACACAGGUGGAAUGAGCACCCCGAAAUAACGUGCUUUGUUUCCACGCUGCGAUGCCGAUGGGCAGGAGCUGUGUUCUGCUGGGAGG